AGACCUUUAGUUUGAACCCCGAAACCAGGUGAGCUACCCCGAGACAGCCUAUAUUGAUUAAGGGCCAACCCGUCUCUGUGGCAAAAGAGUGGGAAGAGCUCCGGGUAGAAGUGACAGACCUACCGAACCUGGUGAUAGCUGGUUGCCUGAGAAGUGGAUAGAAGUUCAGCCUCGCACACCCCAAGCCAGAGAAUACACCGCUAAGGCACUCAGGGAAAUGUGGGAGAGUUAGUUAAAGGGGGUACAGCCCCUUUAACAAAGGAUACAACCUUUGCAGGAGGAUAAAGAUCAUAAUAUAUAAAACAUGCUGCUCUAGUGGGCCUAAAGGCAGCCACCUAAACAGAAAGCGUUAAAGCUCAGGCAGAAAGAAGUUUAUUAUACCGAUAAAAAAUCUUACUCCCCUAAUUAUAUUAGGCCAACCCAUGCCAACAUGGAAGAGAUUAUGCUAAAAUGAGUAACAAGAAGACCUGCUCUUCUCCCAGCACAAGUGUAAGCCAGAUCGGACUAGCCGCUGGAACUUAACGAACCCAACCCAAGAGGGUAGUGUGAAUAGUACAGACCCCAAGAAGAACUCACAACUAAACAAUCGUUACCCCCACACUGGAGUGCUAUUAUAAAGGAAAGACUAAAAGAGGGGGAAGGAACUCGGCAAACACAAGCCUCGCCUGUUUACCAAAAACAUCGCCUCCUGCAACUAUAUUGAGUAUAGGAGGUCCAGCCUGCCCAGUGACUACGGGUUCAACGGCCGCGGUAUUUUGACCGUGCAAAGGUAGCGCAAUCACUUGUCUCUUAAAUAGAGACCUGUAUGAAUGGCUAGACGAGGGCUUAACUGUCUCCCCCCUCCAGUCAGUGAAAUUGAUCUACCCGUGCAGAAGCGGGUAUAAUUAUACAAGACGAGAAGACCCUUUGGAGCUUAAGGUACAAAAUCCAACCACGUUAAACGACCCCCUAAAGGGCAAGAACUUAGUGGCCAAUGAAGUUUUACCUUCGGUUGGGGCGACCACGGAGGAGAAAAAAGCCUCCGAGUGGACUGGGUUAAAACCCAAAGCUAAGAGAUACAUCUCUAAGCCGCAGAACAUCUGACCAAAAGUGAUCCGGCUAAAAAGCCGAUCAACGAACCAAGUUACCCUAGGGAUAACAGCGCAAUCCUCUCCCAGAGUCCAUAUCGACGAGGGGGUUUACGACCUCGAUGUUGGAUCAGGACAUCCUAAUGGUGCAGCCGCUAUUAAGGGU
rnacentral:rRNA from 1 species